ncrna:unclassified sequences S15-Halobacteria ribosomal protein leader
UCGGGAAACACACGGCCGCAACUCCGACGCGUCGGCGCUGCCGACUUGGGAUUGCGGAUGUGU